rnacentral:rRNA from 1 species
AAUAGAUACCCCGGUAGUCCACCCCGUAAACGUUGGAAACUAGUUGUGGGGUCCUUUCCACGGAUUCCGUGACGCAGCUAACGCAUUAAGUUCCCCGCCUGGGGAGUACGGCCGCAAGGCUAAAACUCAAAGGAAUUGACGGGGACCCGCACAAGCGGCGGAGCAUGCGGAUUAAUUCGAUGCAACGCGAAGAACCUUACCAAGGCUUGACAUACACCAGAACACCCUGGAAACCAGGGGACUCUUUGGACACUGGUGAACAGGUGGUGCAUGGUUGUCGUCAGCUCGUGUCGUGAGAUGUUGGGUUAAGUCCCGCAACGAGCGCAACCCUCGUUCUAUGUUGCCAGCACGUUAUGGUGGGAACUCAUGGGAUACUGCCGGGGUCAACUCGGAGGAAGGUGGGGAUGACGUCAAAUCAUCGAUGCCCCUUAUGUCUUGGGCUUCACGCAUGCUACAAUGGCCGGUACAAUGGGCUGCGAUACCGUAAGGUGGAGCGAAUCCCAAAAAGCCGGUCCCAGUUCGGAUUGAGGUCUGCAACUCGACCUCA